GAUGAACGCUGGCGGCGUGCCUAAUACAUGCAAGUCGAGCGAACAGACGAGGAGCUUGCUCCUCUGACGUUAGCGGCGGACGGGUGAGUAACACGUGGAUAACCUACCUAUAAGACUGGGAUAACUUCGGGAAACCGGAGCUAAUACCGGAUAAUAUAUUGAACCGCAUGGUUCAAUAGUGAAAGACGGUUUUGCUGUCACUUAUAGAUGGAUCCGCGCCGCAUUAGCUAGUUGGUAAGGUAACGGCUUACCAAGGCGACGAUGCGUAGCCGACCUGAGAGGGUGAUCGGCCACCCUGGAACUGAGACACGGUCCAGACUCCUACGGGAGGCAGCAGUAGGGAAUCUUCCGCAAUGGGCGAAAGCCUGACGGAGCAACGCCGCGUGAGUGAUGAAGGUCUUCGGAUCGUAAAACUCUGUUAUUAGUGAAGAACAAAUGUGUAAGUAACUAUGCACGUCUUGACGGUACCUAAUCAGAAAGCCACGGCUAACUGCGUG
rnacentral:rRNA from 1 species